UACGUAGGCAGCGAGCGUUGUUCGGAAUUACUGGGCGUAAAGCGCGCGUAGGCGGUUUGGAAAGUCAGAUGUGAAAGCCCCGGGCUCAACUUGGGAACUGCAUUUGAUACUGCCAGACUAGAGUACAGAAGAGGUGACUGGAAUUCCCAGUGUAGCGGUGAAAUGCGCAGAUAUCGGGAGGAACACCAGUAGCGAAGGCGGCACUCUGGGCCGUGACUGACGCUGAGGAGCGAAAGCGUGGGUAGCAAACAGGA
rnacentral:rRNA from 1 species